rnacentral:lncRNA from 1 species
GUCCUCGACACCCCUAGACACCCUGUGAGACUCUCAAUCGCUACAUCAUGCCUCAACCUAUCCUUAGGCAACCCCACCACUUCGGGACACUUCCAAUUGUAUGAUGCCUCUGGUGCUCCCUGAGACUCCUGGCUCUCCUUGAGAUCUGCUCCUAAUCUCCCUAAGAUGCCCAACGAUCCCAGCCUGUCCCUACCUAUCACAGCCACUCCACCUGGCC